ACAAACUUGUCCCCAAUUCUUCUAUUUUAAAACUAUUGGGGACGAUUUUUCUUAUAUAGUAUAGUGAAUCCGAUCCAAAAUAAUAGAGACCAAAAAUUUAGCUAAUAAACAAGAGAACUUAAAAAAAAUAGCAGUAUUUAAUUUUUAUGAGUUGGAAAGGGAAAAAAAGUGACGGCAAUUAGGUUUUUUUUAUUAGUAAAGCAGAGUAAAUUUCACAAUCUUCUCCAUCAAAUUCACCUGAUCUAAGAGUGGAGUCUGUUGCCGACGAGCAUUGUGGAAUUUAUGUUUAUUACACGUUCUAUCGUUUUAUCUGGUUUAUUACCGGGUUCUAGAGCAAGAUCACUCUCAUUUCUUAGCGUUGGUCUCGAUGUCAAGGAAAUCGGGCCGUGACACCUACACCACAAGACGAGCCUUAAAAACUCAUUUACAACCAAUGAUAUUCGCUGAAUGUGAUGGUGGUGGAACAAGGGGACCAUGUAUCAUUUGCGAGAAGAGCUCGAUACUCAGAAUUCAUGGCAUCGCGGCAAUGUUGAUGUUUAUUAGCUUCCUUAAAUGAUGUAGGCUCAAGAGAGUUGGAGCUGGAAAUUUCAAACUUAAAGUAAAUAAUAUUCUUUAUUUUUCUGGUUCCAUCUUGAGUACGGGUUAUCAUUAGAUGGACAUUUGAAUAUAUUAUUUGGAACAAGCCAUGUAUGUAUAGAAUGAGUUUUUUGUGCAUUUGAGCUUGAAGGAGAAGAUAAAAAUAAAAGAAUUGUGAGAA